UUGUUUCCAGAUUCUCCUGCAUUUCAUAGCUGGGAAAUGAUGUCCACCCUCAUCCCGGUGCUCCUGGUAAUGUUCACACUCAAAGGAAAAGGAGCCCAAAAAGUGACGCAGCCAGAGGACCACAUCUCUGUCUUUGAAGGGGCCCCCGUGCAGGUGAAGUGCAACUACUCCUAUUCUGGGAGUCCUGUGCUCUUCUGGUAUGUCCAGUACCCCCAACAAGGCCUCCAGCUCCUCCUGAAACACACCUCAGGAGACAGCGCCAAAGGCUUCCGGGCCACCUCAACAAGGCCAAAGCAUCCUUCCACUUGCAGAAGCCCUGGGCUCAGGAGGAGGAUGCAGCUGUGUACUUCUGUGCUCUGAGUGGCACAGUGACCGCUCUUGCAAGGGAAGCAGAGCGCAAACCCUUCAGAGUUAUGCCAAUGGUACAGACAGGAUUCAGGCAGAGGUCCUAUCCUGCUAAUUUUAAUAAGUCAAAUGACAAAGAGAAAAUCAGUGAAAGGUUAAGAGUCACCCUUGACCCUUCCGUCAAAAGCAGCAACCUGUCCAUCAUGGCUUCCCGGGCUGCAGAUGCUGCUAUUUACUUCUGUGCCACAGAUGCAGUGUUCAGCAGGCACCUGCAGCCCCAGCACAAACCUUGCCAGAGCUGCUUCCUAGAGGCCUAA